UCAAAGAUUAAGCCAUGCAUGUCUAAGUAUAAGCAAUUAUACCGCGAAACUGCGAAUGGCUCAUUAUAUAAGUUAUCGUUUAUUUGAUAAUACUUUACUACUUGGAUAACCGUGGUAAUUCUAGAGCUAAUACAUGCUAAAAAUCCCGACUUCGGAAGGGUUGUAUUUAUUAGAUUAAAAACCAAUGCCCCUCGGGGCUCUCUGGUGAAUCAUGAUAACUAGUCGAAUCGACAGGCCUUGUGCCGGCGAUGGCUCAUUCAAAUUUCUUCCCUAUCAACUUUCGAUGUUUGGGUAUUGUCCAAACAUGGUGGCAACGGGUAACGGAGGGUUAGGGCUCGACCCCGGAGAAGGAGCCUGAGAAACGGCUACUACAUCCAAGGAAGGCAGCAGGCGCGCAAAUUACCCAAUCCCGACACGGGGAGGUAGUGACAAUAAAUACUGAUACAGGGCUCUUUUGGGUCUUGUAAUUGGAAUGAGAACAAUUUAAAUCCCUUAACGAGGAACAAUUGGAGGGCAAGUC
rnacentral:rRNA from 1 species